rnacentral:lncRNA from 1 species
CGCGGAGUAAAAAUGGGCCAAAGAGAGGGGAUGAGACGUUAGGGAAUCAAAUGAGAGAUAACAGGGCAGGUUUCAAAUACAAACCUCUAAACGUCGUUUUGCAUGGGAAAAAAAGACAAAUUGAACAGUAACCCAAAUCGAAAUAAAAUGAACAGUCCCUCCAAAAGUGCUCUUUUAACAAGCCAAGGAUAUCAAGGAUCUCCGUCGAUAAGCUUUGGAAAUAAUUCGAAAAAAAAAAAUGUACAGAUGAAGGCAUAGAACAGAAUCUGGUUGACCUGGAAAAGAGAAGUGAAAUGAUCUUUGAAAUUCUCCGUUCUUCAUUUAAAAUAAAGAAUCCAUUGGAUUAGUCAAAUAUAAAACCAUAUAUUUGGAAAAAUAAAAGAACAAAACAGAGUAGCUUAAUUUCUCCCAUCUUUUAACAUUCUCAUGAUAUAGAAGUCCUGUUGUUUUUUGGCAAGUUUUGGAGAGCAAAACCCUCUAUUCUUUAUAAUGAUUGAUUUAAU